UACAGAGGGGGCAAGCGUUGUUCGGAAUUAUUGGGCGUAAAGGGCGCGUAGGCGGCCUUGUAAGUCAAAGGUGAAAUCCCUCGGCUCAACUGAGGAACUGCCUUUGAAACUGCAAGCUUGAGGCCGGGAGGGGGUAGCGGAAUUCCCAAUGUAGCGGUGAAAUGCGUAGAUAUUGGGAGGAACACCAGUGGCGAAGGCGGCUACCUGGACCGGUUCUGGACGCUGAGGCGCGAAAGCGUGGGUAGCAAACAGG
rnacentral:rRNA from 1 species